rnacentral:lncRNA from 1 species
AUGCAGCGAGCCUGGGCGCCGCCGGCGCUCACCUAUCACCGCGCCCACCACAUCGUUCUUCACCCCGAAGCAGAGCGGCGGUUCGCGGCGGCCGGCGGCCGUAGCCUCGGCGGCCCCGGCGGGCUCUCUCCAGCCGCCGCCCGCACCCCUGCUACCGACCCGGCCUCUCCGGUUCGUCUCCUCCGUCGCUGUCCGGUCGGCGCCCCGGGACCCGGUCGAGCUUCGCCGGGGAGCAACGCCCGAGGAGGAAGCGUUGGCUGCGGGUUCCCGCCUAGACAUGGCUCUGAGGAGAGCCGCGCGUCGCACGUCGUUCCAGACUCAGCUGCACAGGCCGCGGCGUCGGAAAAACUCCGCUGCCGCCCGCGAGCUCGCCCGCCAGUCCUCUGCGCGCUCAUUGGCCGCCGCGCUUCGGGGGCGGGGCCUGGCUGGCCUGACCAAUCGGCGCUUGCAACCGAGCGGCCACCUGGACCCCUAUUUGCCCGGCUAGUGUCUGGCUGGGAACAUCAGCUUGAGGACAGUGCGUCUCCGUGCCACGGAAACGAUCCCAACCGUGCCUCGAAAUUCAGGUUCAUGACGGGCUAAUGUACAGGCUUGAGAUCUGGGGCAGGAGGGUCUGCGUGACAAUUACUUUCAGGCUCUAUCUUAAAAUAACUCGAUGAAAGCGCUUGCCUAAGCGCAGGAUACCCUAUCUACACUCCCCAAUACCUAAAGUUAAAAAAAAAAAAAAAUAGCACUGCCUGAAGCACACCCAGCUUUGCAAGGAUUUUGGAGCUGGACACAGUCCUCCAGGCCUGGCCUAAGCUCCAGCAUCCUUUGCUGGGAUUGGGAUCCUCGAAUUGUCAGACUAGAUCACAGGUCAACCAUCCAUCAAACAGAGGACACGCAGAAUCUUAGCAUUGAAUGUCUUGUAGGAGACACUGAGGAAAAACUGGAAGGUUGGGUCCAUCCUGGGUUAAAUAAAUUACAUCAAAUUAUAUUAUAUAAUACUAUGUAUACUAAUAUCUUUGAAGAUAGCCUUAAUUCUCCUGCCUGGGAGUGGGCACUCAAGUGCUGGGCUUAUAGAUGAAUUUCAUGACACACAGAUGUAGCAACAGUAUCUCUUGAUACAAUACUCUCUGGGGGAAUGUGAAUAAAACACCAAACUAUCAAAGCAUCUUGGACUUACACAGAAACAUCGAGCAAAAUAAAAAAUAAGCCAAUCAC